UUCGUCCUACGGGAGGCAGCAGUGGGGAAUAUUGCACAAUGGGGGAAACCCUGAUGCAGCGACGCCGCGCGAGUGAAGAAGUAUUUCGGUAUGUAAAGCUCUAUCAGCAGGGAAGAUAAUGACGGUACCUGACUAAAAAGCCCCGGCUAACUACGUGCCAGCAGCCGCGGUAAUACGUAGGGGGCAAGCGUUAUCCGGAUUUACUGGGUGUAAAGGGUGCGUAGGUGGCAGGGCAAGUCAUAUGUGAAAUCCCGGGGCUCAACCCCGGUACUGCAUUUGAAACUGUCCAGCUGGAUAGCAGGAGG
rnacentral:rRNA from 1 species